GCCCUCGUAGCUCAACGGACAGAGCAGCAGCCUUCUAAGCUGUUGGUUGUGGGUUCGAUUCCCGCCGAGGGCGCCU
rnacentral:tRNA from 1 species